ACCAUGCUGAAUAUACCGGUUCUCGUUCGAUCACCGAAGUCAAGCAUCAUCGGGCGUGGUCAGCACUUGGGAGGGUGACCACCUGGGAACACCGCGUCU
rnacentral:rRNA from 1 species